UCGUGUGGAUCUAUAGUAAUCUGGAAUGAUUCAUAGUACUUGAAGUAGAGUAUCGAGAAUAUCAAGGUCUCGUUUAUUAUUAAUUAAUAAUCAUCAAUGUUUUCUAUUACUAAUUAAGGAUAGGAUAAGAAUCUAAGUGGAAUGUUUCCAUCCAAAUUAUAAUAAAACCAUCUGGUCGCAAUGUUUUUUGGCGCACGUGGCGCAUUGGUAAUUGAAAUUAUUUCGCAACAAUGAACCACGCAGUUGAAACACAGGAUGUAUAAUUAAAGUUCAAGAUCGAGGUCGAGGUAUUGAUCGAACCUACGCGAAGACUACAAAUUUUCUUCCGAGAAGCUAAGAGGAAAAAAAGAAUUUAUUCGUUCAAAAAUAUCUCUCCCCUAUUGAAAUCUCGAGGAUAUUUUUAUAAAAUUUUCCAUUUUGGGAAAAGUAGAAAAUAAAAAAUGAAAUGAAUUAUGCAAAAAAUAAAAAAAUGGAUGAUAUUCUUUUUAUAAACCACGACCAUUUGUCAGAUAAAUUUUUAUCGGCACGUAAAAACCAUUUCGUCACGCUUGGUCCGUGAUACUGGCUAUGUUUCAUGUUUCGAAAGAAGGCAUCGACGGAUACAUUUGCAUUCAGGAAACCGAGCCGAAUGUUAUACCGUUUGUACGCGUUCCGACUUUGCGCUCUAUUCCAUCGAAGAUGUUGUAAAAGUCUGCCUAACGGAUGAUGGUUCCGGAUUCAAUUUUUUCUUCUUACAAUCAAUAUCGCAACAAUCUUUCCUCUACAUCUUUCAAACGUUCCCUCGACAAUCUUAGAAAGAAAAAAAAAAAAAAAAGAAGAGAGAGAAAGAGAUCCAUUUCGACAAGUAUCCACCGCAACGAUUCAUUCGGGAAUUCAGGUCCGAUUCGAGGUGUGGAACGAGCACAAUGAGCGCACAGGAUAUCGAACAGAGUCGGCCGGCUCGCAGGAAAUUUAUGGUACCCCGCGAGAUCCGCCUUGGCGUGCAAUAAGAUAGCGAGUUUGCGUGUCGACCAGGAGGAUAGAGCGUAGGUGUAAGUUUAUGCCGGUUGUUCCGUGUAGGGUACGGCUCCUCGUUUCCUCCAUAAUUCCAACCGGUCGUGAAACUAUCCUGCAUGCGCCCUAACUGCGCCUAUCUACAUGUGUCCGUGUGCAUCCAGUCCGAGGCGUGUACUUUUCGUUGAAAUAUCUACUACUCGUCGAUAUCUAGCCCCCCUUAGUGGGGCAACCAUGUUAUAAUUUGCGAAACGAAAAUAAUUUUGGGAAAAUAAGAAGAAAAAGGAACACGUCGAUGCUGUUUCCUCCUUUUUCAAUGAGCUUGAAAUACGUUAACGACAUCAUUUUUUAAUUGUAAAUAUACGUAUGUACGUUGAUGAUGAUCGGUCUUAGUUUUUAGAAUUAUAUGCAAAAGUGUUUUUCACUUUUAUAUUAUAGAAUUGUAGAAUCGAUUUAGAUUGAUUGAUUUCAUUUUUAUCUGGCCGAAUCGAUGAAGAAUUUAAAUUAAAAAAAUGAUCGUAAACUGUUAUCUUUCGAUGAAUCGAUGGAUUGUAAUAAACAAAAAUAUAUAAAUCUCAUACUUCAAAUAUACUUCAAGCUCAUCGAAAUCAGUGAAAAAAAAAAAGCUGAUAGUCACGGUGUUCUCUGUAUCAGAUAAGCAACAAGCUUCAAUCGAGCACGAUAAUGUAUCGUGUCCCCGAUUUAUCAUUCGAUUGCGUAUCGUCGAAACAAGAUUUACGAUUCUCCUCGUGCAUUCGUUUUGUAAGGAUUCGGGAUUCUCCGCGACGCAUCAAUUUUGUUCGAUCCUCCUCCGUUGGUCAAUGUUUUCCUCAUUGGAUGGAUCAAAGAGGUUGAUAUACGCCUUCUAAAAGGUUUGUACCGCGGCAGAAUUGUCGACCAUUGAUCGGAAUUGGGUUUCUUCGAUUGUCACGAAGACUUUGGUUGCUUGUGUGGUAGUUUGCCGGAUAAGGGAAGGGGGCUGAUUAAAUUUAACCUACAUUCCCUACACCUGAACCGAAGUAUUUGAUUAGACACGAGCGAACGACCACACGUUUGGCAUCAAUCUCCCGGAUCGAAACGUAACGCGGCGACCAAGAUUAAUUCCGCCAUUUUGGAGAACGAUAAAAUUAAAAAAAAAGUGAUAAAAUUACAACGACCUUGAAAUGACCUUCUUUUCCACUUACAACAAAUUCGAAAAGAAAUUUUUCAUCCCCCUCCCUAUCUGCUCGACGUUAUUGGACACGUUACGACG